GUGUGCCUACGGGGGGCAGCAGUGAGGGAUAUUGGUCAAUGGGGGAAACCCUGAACCAGCAACGCCGCGUGAGGGAAGACGGUUUUCGGAUUGUAAACCUCUGUCCUCUGUGAAGAUGAUGACGGUAGCAGAGGAGGAAGCUCCGGCUAACUACGUGCCAGCAGCCGCGGUAAUACGUAGGGAGCAAGCGUUGUCCGGAUUUACUGGGUGUAAAGGGUGCGUAGGCGGCUUUGCAAGUCUGGAGUGAAACGCAUGAGCUCAACUCAUGCAUGGCUUUGGAAACUGGAGGACUGGAGAGCAGGAGG
rnacentral:rRNA from 1 species